ACCACCUGAGUGAAUGGUGGGAUCCCUGAACCGUGUUAUGGAGAAGUCCGGUGAGCCCCAGUUGGAUGCUAAGUUCAAGGUCACCAACCAGCUCAUAGAUUUUCAGUGGAAGCUGGGUAUGGCUGUGAGCUCUGACAGUUGCAGAUCCCGUAAGUAUCCUUAUGUUGCAGUGAUGCUGAAAGUGGCAGAUCAUUCAGGCCAAGUGAAGAACAAGUCCUUUGAAAUGACAAUCCCACAGUUUCAGAAUUUCUACAGACAAUUCAAGGAAAUUGCUGCAAUUAUUGAAACUGUGUGAAAACUGAUUCUAAACGGAAAAUAAUCUAAAAUCACGGACUUCACUUUCUGCAACAAAGCUGCUUAAGGAUCGAAUGAUAUUUAUUGAAUGAAAAUUAUACUUUUGGUUUUCUACUUUUUAAAAUAAUAAUAAAAAAAAAAUCAGACAAACAGGAA